rnacentral:rRNA from 1 species
AUGGCCGGCUUUCCCCUGGUCGGCCCGCCGGAGGCUGCCACCGCAGCGGGCGCGGCGGUACCAACGGGCGACGCGUUCGUGGACCUGCUGGACGCCAGCUUCAACAAGGCGACGGAGACGGGCGGGACGGGGAAGGCGCUGACGGAGAACUCCUCGCCGACGUUCGUGUCCUCGGGGGACCCCUGCCUCGACUUCUUCUUCCACGUGGUGCCCGGCACGCCGGCCGCCUCCGUCGCCUCGCUGCUCGCCGCCGCCUGGGCCGCCGACCCGGUCACCGCGCUCCGCCUCGUCGCCAACCUCCGCGGCGUGCGGGGGUCCGGCAAGUCCGACCGCGAGGGCUUCUACGCCGCCGCGCUCUGGCUCCACGCCCGCCACCCGGCCACGCUCGCGCGCAACGCCGCCUCCGUCGCCGCCUUCGGCUACCUCAAGGACCUGCCCGAGCUGCUCCACCGCAUCGUGCACGGCGGCAAGUCCACCAGGACCCCCGGCAAGAAGGCCCGCCUCGAGGCCGAGGGCGGCGGCUUCGUUGGCCGCGGGCGGGGCAGAGGCCGCUGGAGCGGCGGCUCUAGCGGCCGCAAGCCGCGUAGCGAGGACCGCGCCCCGCCCGUCGGAUCUUCGGAGGAGCGCACCGCGGCCAGCCUGGAGCGUGACCGGGAGCUGGCGGCCGCGGCCGCGGUGUCCCGCCGGGCCAAGAGGGCAGAGGCCGCGGCGAGGGCGUUGGAGAUGUACAGCCGCGACUCCACGUACCGGUUCCUGCACGACCGCACGGCCGACCUGUUCGCCGAGCUCCUUGCGGAGGACAUGCGCAAGCUGUCUGUCGGCAAUGUCAAGGAUUUCUCGCUCGCGGCCAAGUGGUGCCCGUCGCUGGACUCGUCCUACGACCGCUCCACCCUCCUCUGCGAGGCCAUCGCGCGGCGGCUCUUCCCCAGGGGCUCGUCGUCGGAGCUCGGCGACGACCUCCCGGACGCGCACUACGCGUACCGCGCGCGCGAGCACCUCCGCAGAGCGGCCAUCGUGCCGCUCCGCGCCGCGCUUAAGCUCCCCGAGGUGUUCAUCUCGGCGCGCGCCUGGGAGUCCGUGGUGUACACGCGCGUGGCCUCCGUGGCCAUGAAGAACUACAAGGACCUCUUCCUCAAGCACGACGCCGAGCGCUUCAACGCAUACCUCGCCGAUGUCAAGUCCGGCAAGAAGCGGAUCGCCGCGGGCGCGCUGCUCCCGCACCAGAUCAUCGAGUCCCUCGGCGAGGAUGGGGACGACGGCGGACUGGCCGACCUGCAGUGGCAGCGCAUGGUCGACGACAUGCGCGCCCUCGGCAAGCUCAACAGCUGCGUGGCCGUGUGCGACGUGUCCGGAAGCAUGUCCGGCCUGCCCAUGGACGUCUGCAUCGCGCUUGGCCUCCUCGUGUCCGAGCUCACCGACGACCCGUGGCGCGGCCGCGUGAUCACCUUCAGCGAGCAGCCGAACAUCCACAUGAUCAAGGGCGACACCCUCUCCGAAAAGACUGAAUUCGUCCGGAACAUGGAUUGGGGUAUGAACACCGACUUCCAGGCAGUGUUCGACAAGAUCCUGGAGGUGGCUGUGGGCGCCGGCCUGCCGGCGGAGAAGAUGGUGCAGCGAGUGUUCGUGUUCAGCGACAUGGAGUUCGACCAGGCGUCGGCGAACCCGUGGGAGACAGACUACGAGGCGAUCGUGAGGAAGUUCUCGGAAGCUGGCUACGGCGCCGCCGUGCCGGAGAUAGUGUUCUGGAACCUGAGGGACUCCAAGGCCGUGCCGGUGAUGUCCGGACAGAAGGGGGUGGCGCUCGUCAGCGGGUUCUCCAAGAAUUUGCUCAAGCUGUUCCUCGAUGGCGGCGGCACGUUCACCCCGAGGGUCGUCAUGGAGAAGGCUAUCGCCGGCCCGGAGUAUGAUCAGUUGGCCGUGUUCGAUUGA